rnacentral:rRNA from 1 species
UGGGGAAUAUUGCACAAUGGGCGGAAGCCUGAUGCAGCAACGCCGCGUGCGGGAUGACGGCCUUCGGGUUGUAAACCGCUUUCGCCUGUGACGAAGCGUGAGUGACGGUAAUGGGUAAAGAAGCACCGGCUAACUACGUGCCAGCAGCCGCGGGGAUACGUAGGGGGCGAGCGUUGUCCGGAUUUAUUGGGCGUAAAGGGCUCGUAGGUGGUUGAUCGCGUCGGAAGUGUAAUCUUGGGGCUUAACCCUGAGCGUGCUUUCGAUACGGGUUGACUUGAGGAAGGUAGGGGAGAAUGGAAUUCCUGGUGGAGCGGUGGAAUGCGCAGAUAUCAGGAGGAACACCAGUGGCGAAGGCGGUUCUCUGGGCCUUUCCUGACGCUGAGGAGCGAAAGCGUGGGGAGCGAACA